GAGUUUGAUCAUGGCUCAGGAUGAACGCUGGCGGCGUGCCUAAUACAUGCAAGUCGAGCGAACAGACGAGGAGCUUGCUCCUCUGACGUUAGCGGCGGACGGGUGAGUAACACGUGGAUAACCUACCUAUAAGACUGGGAUAACUUCGGGAAACCGGGGCUAAUACCGGAUAAUAUAUUGAACCGCAUGGUUCAAUAGUGAAAGACGGUUUUGCUGUCACUUAUAGAUGGAUCCGCGCCGCAUUAGCUAGUUGGUAAGGUAACGGCUUACCAAGGCAACGAUGCGUAGCCGACCUGAGAGGGUGAUCGGCCACACUGGAACUGAGACACGGUCCAGACUCCUACGGGAGGCAGCAGUAGGGAAUCUUCCGCAAUGGGCGAAAGCCUGACGGAGCAACGCCGCGUGAGUGAUGAAGGUCUUCGGAUCGUAAAACUCUGUUAUUAGGGAAGAACAAAUAUGUAAGUAACUAUGCACGUCUGACGGUACU
rnacentral:rRNA from 1 species